rnacentral:rRNA from 1 species
UACGGAGGGGGCGAGCGUUGUUCGGAAUCACUGGGUGUAAAGGGUGCGUAGGCGGUCCGAUAAGUCUGAUGUGAAAGCCCUGGGCUCAACUCAGGAACUGCAUUGGAAACUGACGGACUGGAGUACCGGAGAGGGAAGCGGAAUUCCAGGUGUAGCGGUGAAAUGCGUAGAUAUCUGGAGGAACACCGGUGGCGAAGGCGGCAUUCUGGACCGAUAUUGACGCUGAGGAGCGAAAGCCAGGGGAGCAAACGGG